GUUGGAUGGGGUGGCCUGGGACUUGGGGCUGGGGUCAGACGUAUAAAGGCUACGCCCAGCGCUUUUGGAAGCAGUAAGUAAAGCCCUAGGCUAAGGUGAGAGCGUCUGCUGGGACAGUGUGGCUGGACCCACGCGGCAGGUGCGAGGCAGGGUCACUGCCGACGGGAGAGAAGGAGUAGAGGCCUCGGGCCUUGUGGGGUGUCACCUAGAGAUGCCCCAGGAGGGCUGGGGAGCCGGGGUGUUUCCAGAGAAGCCAGUUGGCAUCCUGGCCGCUCUCUCCGAGUGGAAGGUAGAGGGAAAUAAUUGUAUUCACGCAGGGUCGACUGGGCGGAGGCCGUCAAGAUUGGAAGGGGCUGUGCUGUCAAUGAGCGAGCGCAGGUGGCCUGGUGUAGUCCCCGGGAGGCUGGGCGGGGACCUGGGCGGGGACGCUGGAUGGGAACCCUGGGUGGGCAUGCUGGCGGGGACCCUACAGGGCUCUCGCUCUGGGUAGUCUGGCCCUGACUUCUGAGUCACGGGGAAUGCAGGCGAAAGGUCACGGGGCAGUGGGAGGAAGCCCAGGUCCCAGGUUUGUGGUCUUCAGAUGAGGGCAGCUCUGAGAACGGUGGGGGCCCGGCUGUGGCCCCGGCGGGGACACCCCAGAAAUUCAGUGUGGAAUUGGGGACGAGCGGGCUCUCUUCUUGGAUUUGAGGAUGUCAGGCACCUCUUUCAUUUUCUUGCUUCAGAGAGCAUGCCUAGACCCAACGGGUGGAAAUUCCUGGUAGGCCGAUUUAGAAUUCAUUUGUUUUAAUAAUGUUUUAAAUGACUAUUUAAAAUUUUUGUGGGUGCGUAAGUGUAUGCAGACAGCUGCAAUACAAUCUUCUGCUGCUAAUCUCUCAGCAGUGAUAAAUGGUUUUUAGUUUUAGCAACCUGAAAAGCAAGUCCAUGUGAAGCUCCCCAAAACUGUAAAGUUUGCAUGUGAAAUACCGAAAAUCUGCUUCUAUCUGCCUUCAACUCAAAAUUCUUUCACAAAGAAUUCUUUGUUUUGAAUUUGUGUAAUAAGUAAAUAUCACUUAAGUAUCAGUUUCAUUUAUGGUUUCAUUAGUGCUUUUCCCUAAAUGACACUAUGAUUUUCGCACUUUGCCAUCUACAGUAAAUUUACUUGCCUAAUGCAGCUACCAAAUAUAUAUGCGUAUAUGUAUAUUAAAAGUCAUUAAAAAUCAGAAUGACUAUAAAAACAGAAAUUGUAAAUACAUACAGAUUAUAUAGUGUUGGAUUACAGUUGACAAGCCUUCAAACAUCACACAUUGUAAAGAGGUCCUUGUGGGCAUGACAAAUACACAGCUCUUGCCACAUGACACUGGCCACCUUGCAGUGCUGGUACCACCACACCCAGGCUGCCUAUCCUCUGAUCAGUGAGGCAGAUUCUUUGAUAUGUUGGGGGCUUCAGGACAUGUCAGACUGUUACAUACUUUCCCAAAGCUUCCUCCCAUUCAUUCUGCUUAUCUUGUCUUGACCAGUAACAGUUUGCCAACUGACACCAGACCACAGACUACAGUUUGAACAGCAUUGUCGUAGACUCAAGAUUGGCAGCUGUCCAGAAUGUAAACCGCCAAGUACCCAAUGCUUGCCUGGCAGUAGAUGAAGGGAUAUGCCCAUUCUUGCUCUGGUCUGGCUUAUCCCAGCUGAGUGCUUGAGUCUUUUUUAAAAGCUCCACCUCAUCACACAGAUGUGGAAGCUGAGGCUCAGAGGGCAGGACUGACCUGCUGGUGGGGAUGCAGCUGGAUCCAGAGGAAGAGCUAGAUCCAGCCACAGAGCCCAAAUGCACAGCAGCCACCCAGCCCAGCCCAUGCCUCUCUGAGGUUGACUUGGGGCUGUCCUUGUAUGUUUCAGUCAAAGAGGGCUACAGAGUCUGGUCAGAUGCUAACAUCACAUUUGAGUUUUGUACCUUCUCAGAAAAUGGCAUCCUUCUGGGGAUCAGCCUUGCCAAGGUGGAUGCCAAUGAACUAUAGCUUGUAAACAGCAAGGAGGUGUUAAUCACUGAAAGGAGGUAGAACGUUUUUCCCCACCAGAGGAGGCAGCGACCACGUCUCCUCUAUGGAGGCAUUCAAGAGCUGUCCGGCUGAAGCAGCAUCAUUGUCUGGGCCUGGAAGGCACAAUCCACACAGGUCUGCAUGGUCCACCAGAGCUCCACACCCACGGGGCCAGCCGGAGCUCUCUUCUGAAGCAGGGUCUCGCUCUGUUGCCGAGGCUGGAUCACAGCUCACUGCAACCUUGAACUCUCCCUCAAGCAGUCCUCCCCACUCUGCCUUCCAAAGCACUAGCAUACAGGCCUAAGCCACCACCCCCAUCCACUGAAGUGUAAACUGUCUCCUUCACGUUUCCAGUAGCUGCAGAGCAGAUCAGACUAGAAUGCUGUGUUAGAAGAGUCUAAAAGACUAUCGCUGACCUCCAUCCCCAUCAAGGAGCGACUUUCAGCUUGGUUCCUUCAAUAAUUGUCCUGGCCUCUCCACUGUGAGGAAGAUGCAAGUGUGCCCUCUUUUUUUGUUGUUUUUUUUAUUUAAUCGAACUUUCAUUUGAGAUGCUGUAGAUUCACACGUAGUUGUAAGAAAUAAUAAAAGCGCAUCCUGUGCACCCUAUACCGAUUUCUCUCGAUAGCAACAUCUCAUAAAACUCUAGUGCAGUAUCACGACCAGAAUGUUGACACCCAUUCAGGGAAGAUGCAGAACAUUUCCAGCCCCACAAGGCACCCCCUGCUGCCCCUUUGUAGCCACAUUCACUCCUUCUCCCCAUCCUACCCUAUCCCCAUCCCUUACCCCGGCAGCACUACCCUAUUCUACAGUUCUAUAAAUUGGUCAUUUCACAAAGGUUAAACAAAUGGAAACAUACAGUAUGACACAUUUUUGUACUAGCUUUUUUUUUUUUUUCCAACUUGGCAUAAAUCCCUAGAGAUCCACCCAAGUUGCUGCAUUUUUAUUGCUGAGUAGUAUUCCACGGUAUAGAGGAGCCAGUUCUGUAGUCACUCACCUGCUGAAGGACACCUAGGCUUUUUCCCCCCAACCUUGCCAGUUUUUGACUGUGUAAAUAAAGCCGCCAUCGGCAUUUGUGUACUGGU